UUUUUUAUUCAUAGGUGAAUUAAAACUUGGUGAAGAUUCAUUAAACAUUACUCCCAGUGAAGCUUGCCCUAAAACACCCGAAGGCAAAGAAGGUGUUUGCUCUCUCAUUAAAGAUUGUCCUCAAGUAUACCCACAACUGACUGAUUUCGAAGUAUACAAGACGUUCUCAUGUGCCCUGCAAAACGAAUAUGCUGGUGUCUGUUGCCCAAAGAAAGCUGAAGCUGCUGCUUAAGAUUUUUGUUAUUUGGUAAUUAGAACUAGAGGUUGUUAAAGUUAUAUUUUUGUAAGUCCAAUGAAAUUUUUUAAACAAUUAAAUGAUUUUUUUUUUAGA
rnacentral:lncRNA from 1 species